ensembl:lncRNA
GUCAGGGGUGAAGGGUGAGGACAGAAAUGCGGAGGCCAACGCUGUUAAUUUUUCAGAGCUUAGCUCACAGAACGCCGCCCUCCGAGCCCUGAAUUCGCGCCAGUUACAACUCGGUUCGAUCAAAUUCAAGGACAGGAGAAACUGCGGGAGAGAAAGCAAGCAGAAUUGGCUACAAGCUGCAGGAAUACGUGUUCAGAGGAAACUUCUGCAGUGGAGCGAACCGGGAGGGAACCACUCACACAAAAACCAAAUGACUUGCAGGAAAUACUCUCAAGGGUUCCCUCCUUUCUCCCCUGGACGCCAUCAGGAAGACAGCCCAGAUCCCAGCUGCAAUACACAAAUGUGGGGCAGCCUCGUAACACUUUUUUUCCUGAGCAGUCCUCACAAGAUCAUUGUGGGACAUUCACUGGGGUUUCAACUUCACUGUUAAUGAGAUACAUCCGAGCUCUGUCUCUUUAGCCCCCUCACAAGCAACACCCUUCCACUGACUGAAAGAUGCUCCAAGCACAGGCAAGUCUUUCUCCCUUUACAGAGAUGAUUAGACCCUAUGUGUGGCCGGAUGCUCUGGAGGUAAAUGUUCCCACGUGUUGGAAGAGCCCCCAAAGAAUGUUUCAUAACUCCCUUAAAUGACAAAUCACCUGUAGUAACCACGACACUGUCAGGGUGACCUGAAAGAAGGGGGCAGGCGCGGCGCAGCGCGGCACAGCAGGCCUUGGUCUCACACAAACCAGCUCUCUCCCAAAGCACCCGCACUCUUCCUGCU